rnacentral:rRNA from 1 species
ACCUGAAGAAUAANCAUCGGNUAACUCCGUGCCAGCAGCCGCGGUAAGACGGAGGAUGCAAGUGUUAUCCGGAAUCACUGGGCGUAAAGCGUCUGUAGGUGGUUUAAUAAGUCAACUGUUAAAUCUUGAAGCUCAACUUCAAAAUCGCAGUCGAAACUAUUAGACUAGAGUAUAGUAGGGGUAAAGGGAAUUUCCAGUGGAGCGGUGAAAUGCGUAGAGAUUGGAAAGAACACCGAUGGCNAAGGCACUUUACUGGGCUAUUACNNNUGACACUCNGAGACNNGAAAGCUAGGGUAGCAAAUGGGAUUAGAUACCCCAGUAGUCCUAGCCGUAAACCAUGGAUNACUAGAUGUUGAACAGAUCGACCUGUGCAGUAUCAAAGCUAACGCGUUAAGUAUCCCGCCU